rnacentral:lncRNA from 1 species
GGAGCAUUCUCUAUCCAUCUAAGACUAAUUUUGAGGUACAGAGCCUUCGGAAGAGACUAAAAGUUUAAUAUGUAUGGGGAGCAGGUUAAUACUUUAUAUAUUUAUAGUUUCACUAUAGUGACUAAAAUUUCUAACUCACAAAAUAUUUUCAAGAGUUAAUGAAAGAAGGAAUGCAAGAAGUGGGAGGUUCAGAAAGUACCGAAGGAAAAGUAUUAGAACAAUGAUGUGUACUUCCAUAUUAAAGGGUCAGAAAAGAGAGGAAGGAUUCGUUGUGCGGGGAAAGCACUCUUUUGUUCCAAAGCUAAUUCAUCCACAUCAAUUGAGCA